ensembl:lncRNA
CCUUUGGAUGCUGUCCAGUGCAGCCUUCACUCCACCUAAACUUGAUCCAUCCUUCCUCUUGAGUGGGGGGGAACCAGCUCAGAAUUCAUCCCUUUAAAACAAAUUUCAAUAAAUAGUUAUAGCUGUAUAUUAACAUUGAAUGAUAACUUGAUUAACUGCAAUAAAUGAUCUCAUAAGCACAGACCAGUGUUUCUCAAAUUGGGGUGAUAAGAACCCUGGGGGUUUGUGGAUAUAUUCUCACGAUCUCCAAGUUCUAUAUAAAUUAUUUAAAAUGUUAUAUAAAAUAUUAUAUUUUUGACAAAGCUAUUUUGAAAUUGGAAACCAUGUUUACAUUUCAAAUAACUUAAGUCAGUGUUACUCAAAACAUUUACUCUUUAGGAUCUCAAAAAAACCUGUUCCUUUAAAAGGUGCUGCAUCCUGACAGAUUACUUCAGUUUGAGAAACAAGAAGGCUCAGGACUAUUCAUAUAUUACCUCCAGUCAGUCAGACAAAUAUCUUUAGGCACUGGCUGGGGGAAACAAGCUGUGAGGAAACAUGGAUAUUAAUUAAAAUGGGCAGUGAGAGAAGCCCAGCUCAUUAAUAUAAUUCUUCUUGCUCUUGCUGGGAUACAUGAACAUGCACAAAAAAAAGUUUUCAAAUUUGAUGUUAAUAUUUUUUCAGUUGGAUCUUUGUUCUUUUUACACCAGAGAGGCUAAUCUUUUUAGCUCACAAAAGUAUUUGUUGAAAAAGGUGAAAGGGAAGAGGGGAAGGUCAUGGUCUUAUAAAACAUAUUUCUCUAUUACCCUCUUGCCAAACAGGAUCCACAAAUAUCUCAAACUAAAAAGACACUGCUACUCUCAUCUGUUCUUGGGCAGAGAGAGAAUAAGAAGCAUACAAAGUUCUAACAUAUCAGAUUUAUACUCCCAAUCCCUAGAGCUUGAAAAACUCAAGCUUAAAACAAUCAACAAUUUGCCAGCCUGGAUAGAACCAAACACAAUGGCCAGGUGUUAUUUCUAAUCACUUUCCGUGCAUUCAAAAAAGGUAAAAACCAAAUGACAUUAAAAUAAACAUUAUACUACCCAGGUGGCUGUAAUAGUAAUCAUGUCCUGGACCAAAGACAAAAGUUAACCUACCUCAAGUUCACCCUAUCAACUUCAAACCCUAGUGUGCUCAUUUUUUAAAACUCUAAAACAUAUAAUUCACACAAGACAGUACUUGAUUAUUAUGUUCUACAGUUAUUUCAAGUGUGCUUAUAUUAGCUUUUUUAACAAUAUAACCAUAUUAGGGAUGAGAUUAUAUAGGACUAUAGCAUUUCUAUCCCUCACUUCAAUACAGCCUAGCGUAGGGCCAGAUACACAAUAUUAAUUUUGUAAUUUUGUUAACUCAUAUGGUGAUAUAUAAAUUACAGAUGAGGUAGAAACAUGGAAGGACCCUCCAAUUUUUGUAUGGGUAGCAUCUAAGAGAAAGAAAAUGGAACAGGAAAAAGAUUACUUAAUAGCUACAAAGUAGUACUUACAGCAUUCUAAAGAGCCAGAGACUCUUCUUACAGCUGUCCAAGGAGCUAGUAGUGCAAACUGCACCCUGAGCUGGGCCGAUCUUUUGACAUCCUUCUCAGACAACAGUAUCCUUUUUCAGUGACUAGAAAGAACUGCUGUGGUGAUAAUUAGUUACUGGCUUCAGCAGUUCCAUAUUAAAUACUUCUCUGCCAAACACCUUGUACACUAGAGGCUGAGAUAUUAUUCAUUGUAUUCAUUUUCACUAUUGAAAUUUAUAUCCAAAAGACUGAUUAGACCUUGGCUUAUUUUUCUUUUCAUAUAAAAUGGGAAAACUGGUUCCAUUGUUUCUAAGUCCUCACUUCAGUGUGGUGCUUUAGGUAACUUUAAAAAUAGCAGAAUUAAACAGGGUACAUAAAAUGUAAUAGAUUAAUCAAACAAAGUGAUCUAUGGUUUUCAAAAGCACCUCAGCAUGUUCUCUCAUUUUAUCCUUUUACAGCAAUCUUCUUGAAAUAAGUAUGGCCUAGUUGGAACUCCAGAUGAAGAAAUUUAAUGAUUAGGAAGUUUAGAUAGUUUUUCCUAGAAGUGAAUACUGGUAAAGCCCAAACAAGAAGUGGUUUGAAAAUGGUGGUAGAGCCCGAAGAUACUGGUCUUAAGAGUUCCACUCUAGAACUCCUUUAGUAAUAUAUUAUAAUAUCAAAGUCACAGUGGUCUAUCCACAGACUCACCACCCUUAGUAAAAUGAGAGACACUGGUCAUCAGGUACAUGAUAUAAAUGGGUUUACCGACUUCAAAAUUUCAAUGACCAGGUUAUCAAUUCCACCCUGCAAUCCAGAUGUCUUUCUUAAAAAAUAAAAAAUAAAAACUUUUUGGUUGUAUCCUGGCAAUUGGCACUAUACAAUGGCAAUAUACAAAAGGAAAGGAGAGACAUAGCCAGGCAAUCUGCUUUGAAAGGAAGAAUGCACAGAUAGUGAUAACCUUCCUUCCUGGGAAGUCAAUUUUCAAAUGAUACUUAUAUAUAAUGAAAACCCCAAAUAAAGGGUAGCAAUCCAGUUCCCUUGGGUCUGACUUGCCUUGAGCAUUUUGCCUAGUAAAGCAGUAACAGAGGGGAUCAGGAAUGGUUCUGUCCCCAGAAUAUGACAAUAAUCGGAACUGGGAUCAUUAACAAAUGCAGGAAAAGGAGUAAAGGCCCAGUCACCUAGUUCUGGCCUGCUUUUGGUAGUCCAUACUGCACAAAUAUAACAUCAAAAUGGUAGAGAGAUCUUGGGCUGAUGGGCUUAAAAAUGGGACAAUCAAUACUGUGUUAAUAACACAGAAGGGGCUGUGGUGGUAAGCACUACUCAGAAGUAAUGCAAAGAAGGAAGUGGAAGAGUCCGUGCCUGAUGGGUGGGACCAAGGGAAGUGCAACAGGGAAUUAUAGAAAUUCAAAGCGGGCAAAACAAUGACAUCUGGGACUGUUAACAUUGUAAAUCCAAGAGGAAGGAGUUUUGCUCAGUCAACAUUUCCCAGCAACAAUGCAAAAGGGGCAGGGCAGGGGUGGGAGGGGUGAGGGAGCAUAAUCUUAUCUGGAUGGAUGGACACCUGAAAUUGUGAAUAUUAAAAAUCCAUAAGAAGGGUCCAAGGGCAGACAAGGGGUUUGAAGAGGGAAGAUAAGGGAAAGGCCAUGAUUACUUGGGAUUUGAUACACUGGAGCCAGCGCAAAAGGAGUGGGAAUGUGGGUCGCCCUUUGAUGGACAAGUUCACAGCAUAGUGCAGUGUUUAUACUUUAUUAUACCAUGAGAAAUUGGAGCUGGGAGUGCUUGCCUAACAAGACCAGGGAGGAAAAACCCAUUGCCAACUGCCAUUGUGCUCAUCAGCAGUCCCAGUAAAAGUUUUGUGUCAUCAGCAGCCCAUGAAGUAAUGCAAAGGGGGUAUGCGGGAAUGAUGUCCUACUCUAAUAGAAGGGUGUAUGGAUAACUGCAAAUAUUCACACCCAGAGUCAAAAAAAGAAGCCUUAAGUCAGUACUCCUGAUCCAUAGUGAGGGUACAGGGAUCUUAUCUAAAGAUCAUACACUUGAUGUAUUAUUGGUGCAUAUUAAUUGUCCAAGAGCUGAGGUCAUGAUAGCUGGCUGAGGGAGUAUUUCAAAGUAUACUGAUAAAGACAAGAAUUUCUAUUACGUAUACUAACAGUAAGGGAUCUUGGCAGGGAAACAGUAUCCCUUGCACUAUUACAAAGGAGAUACAAUAGUCCUAGAAGUAAUAGGGUUAUGGGAAAGUGCAACUCUGCACAUUAAUUGUCCAAAUGGAAAGGUCUUAGCAAUGGGCAAACUUACUGGAAGGCAUAGGAAGUGAGGGGGAGGGUCCUUGUCUCGUGCACAAGAGUGUACAUUCACAAGCUAAGGAAAGGGAAGGCAACAGGAUAAGAUGAACUAAGUUGCAAUUAUGUAAAUUAAUGUUGAAGGGACAUGGUGUGGUCAAUUAAAAUCAUAUACCUUGUACAAAUAUAAGAAUCUUAAAGGAAGUAUGAAGCCCCUAUAAUGUAAUUGUCAUUACACAUAUUUGAGAAAGGGGCCUUAAGUGGACAGUACCCCAUGCAGUAAAGCAAAGGGGAUGAAAAGAGUCAGGGAGACAAGUUAACUCAGAAGACCAUAGUGUAAUUACACAUAGUCAUAGUCCCAGAACAAGGGCUUUAAGGUGGUAAGUUAACCUGUGCUUCAAUAAGUGAAAGGGCCCUGAUCUAAAAAGCACAGCUGUGGACAACUGAGAAUGUGUACAAGACAACUAAGAUUGUGCACAUUAACUGCAAUAGUGUGUAAGAUCUUGAAUAGUAGGCAUCUCCUGCUGAAAUAUAAAUAGAAUGGGGAGGGUCCUUACCUGAGGUACAGGUACAGGAGCAAACAUUAAGUACACACAUUAACAGUCCAAGACAGUGAAUCUUAGCUAGUCAGAAGUCCCUGCAGUAAUGUAAAUGGGGCAAGGAUAUGGGAUCCUAGUCUAACAUUAGGGAGCAUGGACUACUGAAAUUAUGCACAUUUAAACUGUACGGAAGAAGCAGCCAGUUGAUUAGGACCCCUGAUGCAAAGGAGGUGGAAUGGGAUGGGUUCUUAGUAUAAUUCUGCACAUUAACUGUCCAAAAGAAAAACUAGUCAGUAGUCCCUGCUUUAAUACUAAAAAUUCAAUAUGUUAGUUUGUCAUGAGGGCACAUGCACAUUGAGUCCCAAGAGAAAGAGUUUGGGUCACUAACAUCCCCUGAUAUAACGCAAAAAGGGAGGAAUAUUAAUUAAAAUAGAAGGGCCUUAAACACUGGAAUUUUGCAUGUAAAUAUUCCCAGAAAAAAGUAAUGGCAGUAAUUCAUAUAAAACAGACUACAAGGGACUGAAGUGAAAGAAUAUUUUCGUGGUGAAUUGUCGUGGUUCACUUUAUUCUAGUACAAAGGUCUUGAGUAAAGGACAUCCACCACUGAAUACAAGGGAAAUGAGUGGAGUCUACACUGCAGAGGAAGAGGAACAAAUGCCACUGCACAUUAAAAAGUGCAAAAAGAGGGGCCUUAGUGUUCGGGACCCUAAGGUGUAAUGUGAGAGGAUAAGAUGCACCACAAUAGUCAGUACCUUCUGUGGUAAGCAAAGGAAGUAGAAAGGGAAUGGAAACUAGGCUAACAGAAGGGACCAUAGCUACAGUUAAGCACCCUUCCAUGUAAUGCGAAGGAACUGGAAGUAGGAGGGAACAGGAUCCUAGACAACAGAAGGGAACACAGCAGCAAUUAUCACCUUGACAGUCCCAAAUGCCUUCACAUACAAUGUAAAGGAAGUCCUGGGAUCCUAAACUAACAAAAGGGACCACAUCUGCAUUUAGGCACAUUCACAGGUUCCAAGUACCUUCUGUGGUAAUAUAAACAAAACUGUGGAGAGCAUGGACUCCAGACUAAGAGAAGGGACCACAGUUGCAAUUAAGCAGUUCUACAGUCCCAAUACACUCCCAGGUAAUGUUAAGAGUUAGAGGGCAUGGGACCCUAGGUUAACAAAAUGGACCACAGUUGCAUUUAAGCACCUUUCUGUCCCAAAUACCAACAAGUAACACAAGUGAGUAGAGAGGGGUGAGAUCCUAGGACUGUAGCUGCAUUUAAGCACAUUAACAGUCCCUUGUACCCUCUUUUAUAAUGCAAAUUGAGUAGAAGAGCAUGGGAAUCUAGACCAACGAAUGAGAUUGGAUAAGCAAGAAGAGUCCCAUUAACAGUCCCAAGUACCCCCUGCAGUGAUAAAAAGGCAGUUAGGUAGGAAUGGACUUUGAACUUAACAUAAGGGACUUUACCUGCAUUUAAACACAUUGGGAUUCCCUGGUGGCUCAGAUGGUAAAGUCUGCCUGUAAUACAGGAGACCUGGGUUUGAUCCCUGAGUCAGGAAGAUCCCCUGGAGAAGGAAAUGGCAACCAAGUCCAGUAUUCUUGCCUGGAAAAUCCCAUGGAGGGAGGAGCCCGGCCAACUACAGCCCAUGAGUCGCAGAGUAGGACACGACUGAGCAACUUCACUUUCACUUUCAAACACAUUGAAAGUCCCUUGUAGCCUCUGGGGUGAUGCAAACGGAGUCAGGUGGGAAUGGGAUCCUAGGUUAACGUAAGGGCUUGUAGCUGCAUUUAAGCAAGUUAAUAGACCCUUGUACCCUCUUUUAUAAUGCAAAUUGAGUAGGAAGGCAUAGGAAUCUAGAUCAACAGAUGAGACUGUAUAGGCAAGUAAAUGCAUUAACAGUCCUUAAGUACCCUCUGCAGUCAUGAAAAGGAAGUUAGGUGGGAAUAGGAUCCUAGGUUAACAUAAGGGACUACAGCUGCAUUUAAGCACAUUAAAAGUCCCUUGUACAGUCGUGGUAAUGUAAAUCUAGUAGGAGAGAAUGGGAUCCUAGACUAAGAGAGACUGUAAGUGCAAUAAAGCUCACUAUCAGUCUCAAUUACCAUCUGUAGUCCUGAAAAAAGGAGUUAUGCAGGAAUGGAUUUCGAUGUUAAGGCACUAUACCUGCAUUUAAACACAUCAACAGUCCCUUGUAGCCUCUUUGACAAGUGAGUUAGGUGGGGAUGGGAUCCUAGGUAACAUAAACGACUGCAAGCAGCAUUUAAGCACAUUAGCAGUCCCUUGUAUCCCCUUCGAUACAGUAGAGGGAAUUAAAGGGGGAGAGAGAAUCUUAGACUAAAACAUGGGACUGUAACUGCCUUUAUGUACAAUAACAGUCACUUGUACACUUUGGGAUAAUGCAAAUGGAGUAGGAAGGAUGGAGAUCUAGACUAAAAGAAGGGACAGUAGUGCAAUUAAGCCCAUUAAAAAGUCCUAUGUAUGCUCUGAAGUAAUACAAAGGAAGUUAGGUAGAAAUAGGAUCCUGAUUAUCAUAAGGGACUAUAGCUCGAUUUAAGUACAUUAACCAUCCCUUCUAUCCUCCCUGAUAUGCAAAUCAAGAAGGAAGAGAAUGGAUCCUAGAUGAGAUAAGGGAAUGUAGCUGCAGUGAAUCACAUUAAUAGUUCGAAGUAUCCUCCAAAAUCAUGCAAAGGGACUUAGUUGGGGGUGGGAUCCUAGGUUAACAUAAGGGACUGUAAUUGCAUUUUAAAACAUUAGCAGGCACUUGUACAGUCACUGGUAAUGCAAAGGGCGUUAGGUGGGAAUAGGAUCCUGGGUUUUAAAAAGGAGGCGGAGGAAAAAGAACUGUAUGGGCACAUUAACAGUCCAUUGUAUCCUCUGUGGUAAUGUAAAUCUUUAGGAGAUGGGAAUCUAAACAAAGGGAAGGACCAAUGGUAGUUCAUUAACAAGUUCUAUGUAGGCUCUGCAGUAAUUAAAAGGAAGAUAUUAAUAGUUGGGAAUGGGAUCCUAGGUUACCAUAAGGGAUGUAGUGGUAUUUAAGGCCAUGAACAGCCCCAAGCAUCCUCUGCAAUCCUGCAAAGAGCCUUAGUUGAGGAUAAGAUCCUAAGUUAAUAUAAGGGACUGUAGCAGCAUUUUAGCAUAUUAAGAGUCCAUUAUACCCUCUUUGGUAAUGCAAAUCGAGGGUGGCCUGGGAAUCUAGACUAACAGAAGGAAGGGCAGUGCAAAUAAGCCCAUUAACAAGUCCAUGUAGGCUCUACAUUAAUGAAAACAGAGUUAGGUGGGAAUAGGAUAUUAGAUUAAUAUAAGAAACUGCUGUUCCAUUUAAUCACCUUUAACAGUCCCUUGUACAAUUUGUGAAGAAAGCUGAGUACCUAAAAACUGAUGCUUUUAAACUGUGGUGUUGGAAAAGACUCUUGAGAGUCCCUUGGACUGCAAGAUCCAACCAGUCCAUCCUAAAGGAGAUCAGUCCUGGGUGUUCAUUGGAAGGACUGAUGCUGAAGCUGAAACUCCAAUACUUUGGCCACCUCAUGCGAAGAGUUGACUCAUUGGAAAAGACCCUGAUGCUGGGAGGGAUUGGGGGCAGGAGGAGAAGGGGACGACAGAGGAUGAGAUGGCUGGAUGGCAUCACCGACUAAAUGGACAUGAGUUUGCAUGAACUCCAGGAGUUGGUGAUGGACAGCGAGGCCUGGCAUGCUGUGAUUCAUGGGGUCACAAAGAGUUGGACACAACUGAGUGACAGAACUGAACUAAACUGUACAAUUUGUGGUACUGCAAAUCGUGUGAGAGGGCAUAAGAAUGUACAAUAACAGAAGGGAAUGCAGCUGCAGUAUACCUCAUUAACAGUCCCAAAUACCCUCUGUAGGCAGGAAAGGGAGUUAGGUGGAAAUGAGAUCUUAGGUUACCUGAGGGACUGUAGGUCCUUUUAAGCAUAUCAACAGUCCAUUGUACUCACUGUGGUAAGGCAAAUCAAGUAUGAGGGCAUGGGAAUCGGGACUAACAGAAGGGGCUAUCGCUCUAAUUGAGCCCUUGAACUGUCCCAAGUCCUCUCUACAAUCAUGUCAAGGGGAUGAGGUGAGAACAGGAUUUUAGAUAAAUGUAAGACUCUGUAGCUCCAUUUAAGCACAUUAACAGUUUCUUGUAGCAUCUUCAGUAAUGCAAAUCAAGUAAAAGUAAAAAAUUUCAGAAUAGCAGAGGGGACUGUGGCCCAUUAAGAGUUUCUUGUACAGUCAGUAGUAAUACAAAUCAUGUAGGAGUGGAUGGGAAUCUAGACUAACAGAAGGAACUGUAACUGUAGUAAAGCCCAUUAACAGUCCCAAGUACUUUCUGCAGUCAUUAAAAGCGAGUUGGAUGGGAUAGGGUCCGAGGUAAACAUAAGGGACUGUAAUUGCUUUUAAGCACAGUACCAGUCCCUUCUACUUUCUGUGGUAGUGCAAGGGAGUCACUGACUGUUGGGGAACGGGGUUAUAGGCAAACGUAACAGACUGGCUGGAUUUAAGCACAGUAACAGUCUCUUGUGCACUCUGGGGUAAUGUAAGUUGAGUAGGAGAGAUGGGAUUCUAGACUUAACAAAAAGGACAGCAGUGCAUUUAAGCCCAUUAGCAAGUCCCUGUAGGCUCUGCAAUAAUGAAAACAGAGUUAGGUGGGAAUGGGAUCCUAGAUUAAUAUAGAGGACUAUAGUUCUAUUUAAGCACAUUAACAGUCCCAGUUACUUUAUGUGGUAAUACAAACCCAUUAAGAAUGUAAACAAUUCUAGAUUAACAAAAGGGACUGUGGCUACAGUAAAGCUCAUUAACAGUUCCAAGUACCCUCUGCAGUCAUUAAAAGGGAGUUAGGUGGGAAUAGAGUCUUAGGUAACAUAAGAGGCUGUGGCUGCAGUAAAGCACAUUAACAGUCCCUUAUACCCUCUUUUAUAAUGCAAAUUAGUCAGAGAGCAUGGGAAAGUAGACCAACAGAUGAGACUGUAUAGAUAGGUAAGUGCAUUACCAGUCCCAAAUAUCCUCUGCAGUCAUGAAAAAGUAGUUAGCUGGGGACAGAAUCCUAGGUUAUCAUAAGACUGUAGCUGCUUUUAAGCACAUUAACAGUCUAUGAACACUCUGUGUUAAUGCAAAUCAUGUAGGAGUGGAUGGAAAUCUAGACUAACAGAAGGAACUGUUAGGGACUUUUAAGCACAGUAGCAGUCCCAAGUAAUCUGCAGUCAUGAAAAGGGAGUUAGAUGGGGGAUGGGAUCCUAGGUCAUUGCUUUUAGGCACAUUAACAGUCCCUUAUAUCUCCCUUGCUAAUGCAAAUUGAGUAGGAGGGCAUGGGAAUCUCAACUAACAGAAGGGACAGUAGCUCUCAUUGAGGCCAUUAACUAUUCCAAGUAACCUCCGCAGUCAUGCAACAAGAUUUAAAUGGGAAUGGGAUCAUAGGUAAACCUAAGAGACUAUAGAUGCAUUUAACCAUGUUAAGUCUUUACACUCCAGGGUAAUACAAAUCGAGUAGGAGGGAUAGGCUCCUAGACUAAGAAGUGACAGCAGUGCAAUUAAGCAUUUUGACAAGUCCCAUAUAGGCUCCGGAGAAGGCAAUGGCAACCCACUCCAGUACUCUUGCCUGGAAAAUCCCAUGGACGGAGGAGCCUGGUAGGCUGCAGUCCAUGGGGUCGCUAAGAGUCGGAUACGACUGAGCGACUUCACUUUCACUUUUCACUUUCAUGCAUUGGAGAAGGAAAUGGCAACCCACUCCAGUGUUCUUGCCUGGAGAAUCCAAGGGACGGGGGAGCCUGGUGGGCUGCCGUCUAUGGGGUUGCACAGAGAUGGACACGACUGAAGUGACUUAGCAGCAGCAGCAGCAUAUAGGCUCUGCAUUAAUGAAAAUGAAGUCAGGUGGGAAUGGAAUCCCAGGUUAACAUAAGGGACUGUAGCUGCAUUUAAGCACCAUAUCAGUCCCUUGUAUCCUCUUUCACAAUGCAAACUGAGUAGCAGGGCAUGGGAAUCUAGAUCAACAGAUGAGACUAUAUAGGCAGGUAAAUGCAUUAACAGCCCCAAGUACCCUCUGCAGUCAUGAAAAGGGAGUUAGAUAGGAAUGGGAUCCUAGAUUAAUAGAAAAGACUGUAGCUGGAUUUAAGCACAUUAACAGUCGAAGUUACUUUAUAUGGUAAUACAAAUCCAGUAAGAACGAAAAUGAUUCUAGAUUAACAAAAGGGACUGUGGCUGCAAUAAAGCACAUUAACAGUUCCAAGUACCCUCUGCAGUAAAAAAGGGAGUUAGGUGGGAAUAGGGUCCUAGGUAAACGUAAGAGAUUGUAGCUGCUUUUAAGCACAGUACCAGUCCUUUUACCUUCUGUGGUAGUGCAAGGGAGUCAGGUGGGAAUGGGGGUAUAGGUAAACAUAGACUGUGGAUGCAUUUAAGCACAGUAACAACCUCUUCAAACACUCUGGGAUAAUGUCAAUCCACUAGGAGGGAUGGGCUCCUAGAAUAAUAGAAGGAAUGGCAGUGCAAUUAAGUACACUGACAAGUCCCAUAUAGGCUCUGCAGUAAUGAAAAGGGAGUUAGGUGGGAAUGAGAUCUAGGUUAACAUAAGGGACUAUAGCUACAUUUAAGUACAUAAACAGUCCCUUGUAUCCUUUUAUAAUGCAAAUUUACUAGGAGGGCAUUGAAAUCUAAACUAACAGAGGAGACUGUAUAGGCAGGAAGUGCAUCAACAGUCCCAAGCACCUUCUGCAGUGGUAAAAAGGGAAUUAGGUAGGAAUGGGAUCCAAGGUUAAUAUAAGGGCCUGGAUCUGCAGUUAUGUACACUGAAAGUCCCUGGGAGCCUCUGGGAUGCUGCAAAGGGAAUUAGGUGGGAAUGGGAUCCCACCUUACUAAAAGGGACUGUAGCUGCAUUUAAGCAAUGUAACAGUCCUUUAUACCCUCUUUUAUGAUGCAAACUGAGUAGCAGAGAAUGGGAAUCUAGACCAACAGAUGAGACUGUUUAAGCAGAUAAGUGCAAUAACAGUCCCAAGUACCCUCUGAAGUCAUGAAAACUAGUUAGAUGGAGACAGAAUCCUAGGUUAGCACAAAGGACUGUAGCUCCAUUUAAGCACCUUAGCAAUCCCAGUUCCUCUAUGUAGUAAUACAAAUCCAGCAAGAAGGAAACUGAUUUUAGAUUAACAGAAGGAACUAUGCUGCCGUUAAGCCCAUUAAUAGUCUCAAGUAACUUCUGCAGCCAUUAUAAGGGUGUUGGGUGGGAUAGGGUCCUAGGUAAACAAAAGGGACUGUAGUUGCUUUUAAGCACAGUACCAGUACCUUUUACUUUCUGUGGUAGUGCAAGGGAGUCACUCACUGACUGUUGGGAAUGGGGUCACAGGGAAACAACAGACUGUGGAUGCAUUUAUGCACAGUAACAGUCUCUUGUACACUCUGGGGCAAUGCAAACUGAGUAGGAGAAAUGGGAUUCUAGACUAACAGAAUAGACAGUAGUGUAAUUAAAUCUAUUAAUAAGUCCCUGUAGGCUCUGCAGCAAUAAAAAAGGGAGUCAGGUGGGAAUGGGAUUCUAGGUUAACAUAAGGGACUGUAGAGGCAUUUAAGCAUAUUAGCAAUCCCAGUUACUCUAUGUGGUACUAAAAACCGAGUAAGAAAGAAAUUCACGCUAGGUUAAUAGAAGGGACAGUAGCUGCAGUUAAGCCCAUCAAUAGUCCCAAGUACAUUCUACAGUCAUUAAAACGGAGUUGGGUGGGAUAGCCUCCUAGCUAAACAUAAGCGACUGCAGUUGUUUUCAAGCACAGUAAAGUCCCUUCCACUUUCUGUGAUAGUGCAACACAGUCACUAACUAUUGGGAAUGGGGUCAUAAAUAAACAUAACAGACUGGAUGAAUUUAAGCACAGUAACAGUCUCUUCUACACUCUGGGGAAAUUGAGUAGGAGAGAUGGGAUUCUAGACAUAACAAAAGGACAGAAGUGGAUUUAAGCCCAUUAACAAGUCCCUGUAGGCUCUUCAGUAAUACAAAGGGACUUAGGUGGGAAUGGGAUCCUACAUUAAAACAAGGACUGUAGCUGGAUUUAAGCACAUUAACAGUCCCAGUUACUUUAUGUGGUAACACAAAUCCAGUAAGAACGAAAAUGAUUCUAGACUAACAAAAGGGACUGUGGCUGCAGUAAAGCACAUUAACAGUCGCUUAUACCCUCUUUUGGAGAAGGCAAUGGCAACCCACUCCAGUACCCUUCCCUGGAAAACCUCAUGGACAGAGGAGCCUGGUAGGCUGCCCUCUAUGGAGUCCCUAGGAGUCAGACACGACUGAGUGACUUCACUUUCACUUUUCACUUUCAUGCAUUGGAAAAGGAAAUGGCAACCCACUCCAGUGUUCUUCCCUGGAGAAUCCCAGGGCUGGGGGAGCCUGGUGGGCUGCUGUCUCUGGGAUCACACAGAGUUGGACACGACUGAAGUGACUUAGCAGCAUACCCUCCUUUAUAAUGCAAAUUAGUAGGAGAUCUUGGGAAAGUAGGCCAACAGAUGAGGCUGUAUAGGCAGGUAAGUGCAUUACCAGUCCCAAACACCCUCUGCAGUUGUGAAAUAGUUAGCUGGGGACAGAAUCCUGUUUUAAUAGAAGAGAUUGUAGCUGCUUUUAAGCACAUUAACAGUCUAUGUAUCUUGUGUUAAUGCAAACCACGUAGGAGUGGAUGGAAAUCUAGACUCAGAGAAGGAACCAGCUACUUUCAAGAACAGGAACCGUCCCAGGUAAUCUGCAGUCAGGAAAAGGGAGUUAGGUGGGGGAUGGGAUCCUAGGACAUUGCAUUUAAGCACAUUAACAGUCCCUUGUAUCCCCCUUGGUAAUGCAAAUGGAGUAGGAGGGCAUGGGAAUCUCAACAGAAGAGACUGUAGCUCUAAUUGACUCCAUUAACUAUUCCAAGUAACCUCUGCAGUCAUGCAACGAACACAGGUAAGUAUAAAAGACUGUAAAUGCAUUUAAGCACCUUAACAGUCUUGGUUACUCUAUGUGGUACUACAAAUCCAGUAAGAAAGACUGACCCUAG